GACGAACGCUGGCGGCGUGCUUAACACAUGCAAGUCGAACGGUAAGGCCCUUCGGGGUACACGAGUGGCGAACGGGUGAGUAACACGUGGGUGAUCUGCCCUGCACUUCGGGAUAAGCCUGGGAAACUGGGUCUAAUACCGGAUAGGACCACUGCCUGCAUGGGUGGUGGUGGAAAGCUUUUGCGGUGUGGGAUGGGCCCGCGGCCUAUCAGCUUGUUGGUGGGGUGAUGGCCUACCAAGGCGACGACGGGUAGCCGGCCUGAGCGGGUGACCGGCCACACUGGGACUGAGAUACGGCCCAGACUCCUACGGGAGGCAGCAGUGGGGAAUAUUGCACAAUGGGCGCAAGCCUGAUGCAGCGACGCCGCGUGAGGGAUGACGGCCUUCGGGUUGUAAACCUCCUUCAGCACCGACGAAGCGCAAGUGACGGUAGGUGCAGAAGAAGGACCGGCCAACUACGUGCCAGCAGCCGCCGUAA
rnacentral:rRNA from 1 species